UACGGAGGGUGCAAACGUUGCUCGGAAUCAUUGGGCGUAAAGCGCACGUAGGUGGCCUGUUAAGUCGGGUGUGAAAUCCCUGGGCUCAACCCAGGAAGUGCACUCGAAACUGGCAGGCUUGAGUACUGAAGAGGGUCGCGGAAUUCCCGGUGUAGAGGUGAAAUUCGUAGAUAUCGGGAGGAACACCGGUGGCGAAGGCGGCUCACUGGCCCGGUACUGACGCUGAGGUGCGAAAGCGUGGGGAGCAAACAGG
rnacentral:rRNA from 1 species